rnacentral:lncRNA from 1 species
AUGUUCUGCAGGUCCUCUAAACCUCUUGAGUAAUGACUGAAAACGCAAUAUUCAGUAAAAAAUAUUUUGUUUAAUUCUUUCUUCAGAAGAUAGUCCAGGCCUGGCCAACCUCUUGGAUGAUAAUGUAGAAUGGAUGGAAGAAUUAAUAACGUGGGUAUUUCUUGAUCUUCAAUUUCCAAGACAUUCGUGGGCUUAGCCUCAUAAUCUGCAAUCCUUCCAAAGAAAACAAUAAAGCUCAGCCAAGGUUUUUCCAUGUUUUCUGCACCGUAUUAAGAUAGUUGUGUAUAUAUUUGUAGAUGGUCGGAGUUCACAUUUGUAUUUGUGCUCCUAACAGUCGUUUUGCAUGUCUUUUAAGAGAGGAUGAGGGUGAUGGUGAUUUUGACCCCUCUGUGGAGGCCAACGGGGGACAGAGUUACACUUCUGCCGGGACAGCGCGGAUGUUCAAGCUGAGACGAAGCAUGCACCAGCUGGCCUCUUUACGCACGCAGAAGGAGAAGGAAGUGCUGACAGCCAGAGAAGAGCUCAAACUGUGUCAUCAGAAAAUCCAGAGUGUGACGGAGCAGAGAAAUGACCUGGAGGAAGAGAUCGAACGGCAAAAAGAAGCAGAGAGGAGGUGAAUUCAGACUGGUGGACGUGUGCCACACAUGAUGGAAACUGCCUCUGUGCUUUGUUUCACGGCCUGGCGUUGCGCUCCAUGUUUCCUCAGCGCGGUAGUGUUUCGUUUGCGAGCCCAGCAUAAGCAUGUGUGUCUGAUGCUGCACAAUGAGGAGGAGCUGAGAAGCCGCAUCAAGGCUGAGCUGAAGCAACACGAACUGGAGCUGAACAAGGUGGAACUGGAACUUGGCAGGUUGUCCUUGUUCCAGCAGGAGGUGCGGGAGGAGGAGGAGGCCUAUAAGCUCCAUAAGGCCCAGAAGGCAGUGCUGAGGCUGCAGCAGCAAAGGAAAGCCAGCCAGAACAUGCAGCUCAAGAGGCAGCAUCUGAUAAAUGAACAGGCAGCAGAGAAAAUGAAAAUGGAGGCAGAACAUCAGAGGAAGGCAGAAGCAAGCCGCCUCAGCCACAUGAUAACUGAUAAAUACUUGAAGGAGACCAUUAAAAGGUAAGCAGCCAUGACGUGGGUUUAACAGACUGAGUAUUCAAACAAGCUCACAGCUUUAUCUCCACGCACGCUCGGAGGAUCCCACCAAUCAUUAUAUAUUCCGAACUGACCAAAAAAGACAUUUGUGACUAUGUGUGAAUCUCUUCACCAGUUUCACAGAUUUGGGGAUGAAAAAGAAUAGCAGAUUGCAAAUGAGCAUGAAAUAUUCAAGUUAUCAGCAAUAUUCUCACCCUGUUUCCUAAAGUGGUGAACAUUCAGAAACGUUCUUGCACUCGAUAACAAACAUUCCACUUUGUCUGCUUUAUGUACGGUACUUUUAUCUAUCGCAGUACUUCACAAACACUUGUUUACCUGAGUUGGCCCACAGGUGCAAUUUCAGUUGUUGUAUGUGGACAAUUUUGCUAGAUGCUGGAUAUCAAUGUGACUUCUCCACGUCGCCUUCAGGAUACAUCAGCAAAAAGCUGAGGAAGAACAGCAGAGGAUGGAGAUGCAGAAACGGAGGACACAGGCAGCAGAGUCACUAAAGUCAAACAUAGAAGCUAACAAAGUAAUCAAUUCUACUAAAUCUCUCUCUCUGAAAACAUAUAUAUAUAUAUAGUGUGUGUGUGUGUAUGCAUACACAUAUGCAUACGCAUCUAUAUAACUUGCACAUAUAGUUCUAUCUUUGAAUGUACACAAAGCAGAACAGUUGGUCCUUUUUGAGAUGAUUUCAAAGAGGCUGAUUUUGAGGAGUUUGCCAAGCAUAAACACAUCUCACAG